CCUACGGGAGGCAGCAGUAGGGAAUCUUCCGCAAUGGACGAAAGUCUGACGGAGCAACGCCGCGUGAACGAUGAAGGCCUUCGGGUCGUAAAGUUCUGUUGUUAGGGAAGAACAAGUGUUAGUUGAAUAAGCUGGCACCUUGACGGUACCUAACCAGAAAGCCACGGCUAACUACGUGCCAGCAGCCGCGGUAAUACGUAGGUGGCAAGCGUUGUCCGGAAUUAUUGGGCGUAAAGCGCGCGCAGGCGGUUUCUUAAGUCUGAUGUGAAAGCCCCCGGCUCAACCGGGGAGGGUCAUUGGAAACUGGGAAACUUGAGUGCAGAAGAGGAAAGUGGAAUUCCAAGUGUAGCGGUGAAAUGCGUAGAGAUUUGGAGGAACACCAGUGGCGAAGGCGACUUUCUGGUCUGUAACUGACGCUGAGGCGCGAAAGCGUGGGGAGCAAACAGGAUUAGAUACCCUGGUAGUCCACGCUGUAAACGAUGAGUGCUAAGUGUUAGAGGGUUUCCGCCCUUUAGUGCUGAAGUUAACGCAUUAAGCACUCCGCCUGGGGAGUACGGUCGCAAGACUGAAACUCAAAAGGAAUUGACGG
rnacentral:rRNA from 1 species